AAAAACUGGCUUUUCUAUAGUUAUUGACUUGAGGAAUGUUUAACUAAAGUAUCUGUUCUCACUACCCGCGAUGGUGAGGCGAUGGUACUCUUCCUUGAGUGUGAAGUGAAUCGACUAUUGAUGACUGUUCAAGUAUGUUUUAUCGCGCUCUGAGGGGCGGAGUACAUUUAGAAUGGG
rnacentral:snoRNA from 1 species